rnacentral:rRNA from 1 species
GGUAGUCCACGCCCUAAACGAUGAACGCUCGCUGUUGGCGAUACACAGUCAGCGGCUAAGCGAAAGCGUUAAGUGUUCCACCUGGGGAGUACGCCCGCAAGGGUGAAACUCAAAGGAAUUGACGGGGGCCCGCACAAGCGGAGGAGCAUGUGGUUUAAUUCGAUGAUACGCGAGGAACCUUACCCGGGCUUGAAAGUUAGUGAAUGUGCCAGAGAUGGCACAGUGAGCAAUCACACGAAACUAGGUGCUGCAUGGCUGUCGUCAGCUCGUGCCGUGAGGUGUUGGGUUAAGUCCCGCAACGAGCGCAACCCCUAUGUCUAGUUGCCAGCACGUCAUGGUGGGGACCCUAGACAGACUGCCUGUGCAAACAGAGAGGAAGGAGGGGACGACGUCAAGUCAUCAUGGCCCUUACGUCCGGGGCUACACACGUGCUACAAUGGACGGUACAGAGGGCAGCUAUACAGCAAUGUAAUGCCAAUCUCAAAAAGCCGUUCACAGUUCGGAUCGGGGUCUGCAACUCGACCCCGUGAAGUUGGAUUCGCUAGUAAUCGCAUAUCAGCAAUGAUGCGGUGAAUACGUUCCCGGGCCUUGUACACACCGCCCGUCAAGCCAUGGAAGCUGGGGGUACCUAAAGUACGUAGCCGCAAGGAGCGUCCUAGGGUAAAACCGGUAACUGGGGCUAAGUCGUAACAAGGUAGCCGUACCGGAAGGUGC